GGCGAACGGGUGAGGAACACGUGAGAAACCUGCCUUUCAUUCUGGGAUAACACCGGGAAACCGGUGCUAAUACCGGAUACUCCGUCUUGGCGGCAUCGCCGAGCCGGGAAAAAAUUUUGAUGAAAGAUGGUCUCGCGGCCUAUCAGCUAGUUGGUGAGGUAAUGGCUCACCAAGGCGACGACGGGUAGCCGGCCUGAGAGGGCGACCGGCCACACUGGGACUGAGACACGGCCCAGACUCCUACGGGAGGCAGCAGUAGGGAAUAUUGGGCAAUGGGCGCAAGCCUGACCCAGCGACGCCGCGUGAGGGAUGAAGGUCUUCGGAUUGUAAACCUCUUUCAGUAGGGAAGAAGCGAAAGUGACGGUACCUAAAGAAGAAGCACCGGCUAACUAUGUGCCAGCAGCCGCGGUAAUACAUAGGGUGCAAGCGUUGUCCGGAAUUAUUGGGCGUAAAGAGCUCGUAGGUCGUUUGUCGCGUCGAUUGUGAAAAUCUGAGGCUCAACCUCAGACCUGCAGUCGAUACGGGCAAACUAGAGUGUGGUAGGGGAGACUGGAAUUCCUGGUGUAGCGGUGGAAUGCGCAGAUAUCAGGAGGAACACCAAUGGCGAAGGCAGGUCUCUGGGCCAUAACUGACACUGAGGAGCGAAAGCGCGGGGAGCGAACAGGAUU
rnacentral:rRNA from 1 species